GACGGAGGAGGCAAGCAUUGUCCGGAAUUAUUGGGCGUAAAGAACACGUAGGCGGUUUAUCAAGUCAUAUGUGAAAACCUUAGGCUUAACUUAAGGAUUGCAAAUGAUACUGGUAAGCUAGAGUAUGGUAGAGGGUGGUGGAAUUUCCUGUGUAGCGGUGAAAUGCGUAGAUAUAGGAAGGAACAUCAGUGGCGAAGGCGACCACCUGGACUAAUACUGACACUGAGGUCCGAAAGCGUGGGGAGCAAACAGGAUUAGAUACCCCUGUAGUCCCU
rnacentral:rRNA from 1 species